CACCCACCUCCACCCAAACCCUAACGCCGCCGCCGUCUCCUUCGCCCUGCCCGCCGGACCCCCGCCGCCCACUUCUCCGGUGUCGUCGCCGUCGUCCACCACCACGCAUCCCCUCCUUCCCUCCCCGCGCGGCCCCGCCGUCCCGCCCCACCCGCCGCGGCAGCCAUGGAUGAGCUCCGGUCCGGUCCUCCUCUCCUCCCCGUUGUUUUCCCCUGCUGAGAUCACCGCCGGUGCUGCUCUCCCCGUAGAGCGCGCUCCUUGCCGUCACUCUUGCAGGCGCCACCGCGCUCCCGUUCUCCUCUCCUGCUCCGUUCCUCCCUAUCAAUGACCUCACCGCUGCCACUGACGCGGUACUCUGUCCUUCCCGAGCCCGACGACGAUGGAGGCACGCGGCCACCACGCUCCCAUUCUCCUCUCCUACUCCGUUCCUUCCCGCCAGCCACCUCACCGCUGCCACUAACACGGUACUCCGUCCUUCUCGAGCCCAGCGACGAUGGAGGCGCGCGGCCAUGCCUCCCCGUGCGGUGGUGGAGGAAGGAGGGGGCCUGCACGGUUGUCGGCGACCUCCUCCCCGACCAUCGACCAGAGGGAACUGGAGGUCGAUGUUCGAUCUCUGCCGGCCUUCAUGUAUUUGUUCAGGGAACUGCAGGGUGAGAGUAUUGUGGUGAAUUACAUAUUUAGAUUAUGGUAUGGUCAUGGAAACCUAGAGAAGGAAACUGGCUUGGUGCUCUAGAGCCAGGACAUGAUCCAGGAGAUGUUCGUCAUGUCGAGCCUCCUAACCGUCGGCUCCAGCCAUCGGCAGCUAGAGUUCCUUGAUGGUUCAUGUGGUCUUAACCGCCGCUAGGCUCCCUGCGCCCACGCCUCAAUUCUUCUACCUCUUCUCAGGCCUUCUACCCCCCGCCGGUGCCGCCUCCUCGCGAGAUCCCGGACAUGAUCUUGAGGUUUGACCCUGAAUGCUUGGGUCUAGGUAGCUGAAGAUUCUUAGGUCCGUGGUGACAGUGAUUGUUAGGUCCGUGGUGACAGUGAGCAUCAUUGGUCAACAAGGUUUCAGUGGGUGUGCAAGACUUGCUACAGGCUAGGGCUGUGGCGCGAUCAGCAUGUUGAGUAUUUGACGAAAGAGCCGGGGCAUCUUGCACCCAACUUCCAUGUGCUCGAUGCCAAUCAACUUUGGUUAUGCUAUUGGAUGGUUCAUGGGCUCGCGUUGCUGGAUGAAACUCUUGACGAAGACCUCGAGAACGAUAUUGUAGACUUAUUGUCUUGAUGCCGGGUUUGUUGAUCUGUUACGAUAUAAUUGUAUGGAUAUGUUGCUACAGUUUGCAGUUAAAUUUUGAUAACACUUAUGCUUAAGGAUAUAUAUGUUGAAAACUUUACAAGCAGACUGUUUAAGGCUUUAGCUCAAACUUCCGCUCUUCUUAAAUCUGAUUAUAGAAACUAAGAAAUAAGUUGCUGAGAUAAUAUGCUCUGGUUGCACAACACAGUAAAUCUCAAAUCUGAUUUCAGUUGAACAACAUUGCUUCAUACAAGGAUGACAAGAAAAUAACCUUUAUUUAACUUUGCGCCAUAGUUAGGUUGUCCAUUAGAAAUUUUUGCAGCAGUGUGAUUUUUUUAAAGAAAAUACAAGUAGUAUUUGUCAUACAUAAUUAAAGCACUGAAGAUACCCCUUUGCAGAUACAGUAAUUUCUGAAUAUUACCAUUUUUUCUCUUAUGGUGGAGUAUAAUUGUUUCAGGACAAACAUGGUGGAUAUGGUGGUGGACCUGGGCAGUUUUUCUCUAACCUCAAACUCUUCUUAAUUCCCCACAUUUAGCUUCGGUAAUACUAGCUUUAGGUUGGUUAAUCUUUUUGCAUUAGUUCUUGAAAUGGAAUUUUAGGCAACCAUGGAAUUUGGAACAGGCCAUGUGAAUGCUGGGCUGUAGAGAUAUUGGAUUUGACAUUGCUUUCAAAUGUUUGCUUCACAAUGAGUGCUCUUAGACCGUUCUAGGCUACUUGACAUGUUCACACGAAUAUACAAAAUAACUUCGACCAACCAAUUUAGCAUUAUAAGAACUUCAGAGAUGUGUUUGGUAUUUGAUUACCUAAUGUGUUCAUAUAACUCAAGAAGCCUGAUGUGGUUGGCAAAGCUAGCUUUUGUAGUGGUUUUGUUUGCCCAUCUUUUGGAAGGUCAGAGAUAGCUUUUUUUUUGUUAAUUGAUUUACUGAUUCGGUUUCAUGUUCGGUGAGUGGGGUGGUCGAUCCGCUACUGAUCCCGACGUGCACAACCAGUCACCUGUUUAUCUCUGGGCCCCUGCAGAGAACGACGUCACCGGGGAGGACGGGAGCGGCUCGACCAAUGGCCACCGCAAUGCUCUUCUGCCCGCUGCUUGCCUCGCCACCCGGGCGCAAAAUAGAGCUGACAAGACGUCUGUAUGUACUGCAGUUCAAUGAGGAAGCGCGUCACUUUUUGUAAAGAAAUACAAGACUAUCUUUCACCCAGGAGAGGUUAACUGAAUUAGGGAGAUGGCGCUGUCCCCAUGGACAAAGUCAGUUGCUCUGAUAUGGAUGAGCAGCAGGUGCUGCUACCGCUGCAGGUGGACAAGGCACGAGGUCUCAUGGCUCCUCCCACUCUUCCCAACAACACUGUUGUGAUGUACUGAAGCCUACCGUUCCACAUGUUCAGUACUUGCACCUCAACGUCACUUCUGUGAGUGGUGGCCUAGGUUAGGUCGAUCCCUAAUCUCUGUUCCAAUUUAUUCCGGUGUCAUUAUUCUCAGCAUCCUUUUAAUUGCGAUUUAUGCUGCCUUUGUAUUUUUUGGGGCUAGAGAUUGUAGGUUGAUUUAGAUUGCUAACUCGAUUCAGACUGUCAAUACUACUGUAGAUAUUGAUGUUUCCAGAGCAUCAUUAUCAAUUGGCUGUUAUCUCAUUGUGUUUAUGAGCAGAUACAACAUCUCUUGUGAGACUUAGUCUUACACUUGCUGAUAUAAACUACUUGGCAAUAUUUAUAGAAUGUAUGUCUUUCUGUUUGUACUACUUGAUACAAAUCAGUUG